rnacentral:rRNA from 1 species
UAACUACGUGCCAGCAGCCGCGGUAAUACGUAGGUGGCGAGCGUUAUCCGGAAUUAUUGGGCGUAAAGAGGGAGCAGGCGGCACUAAGGGUCUGUGGUGAAAGAUCGAAGCUUAACUUCGGUAAGCCAUGGAAACCGUAGAGCUAGAGUGUGUGAGAGGAUCGUGGAAUUCCAUGUGUAGCGGUGAAAUGCGUAGAUAUAUGGAGGAACACCAGUGGCGAAGGCGACGAUCUGGCGCAUAACUGACGCUCAGUCCCGAAAGCGUGGGGAGCAAAUAGGAUUAGAUACCCUAGUAGUCCACGCCGUAAACGAUGAGAACUAGGUGUUGGGGGAAUAACUCAGUGCCGCAGUUAACGCAGUAAGUUCUCCGCCUGGGGAGUAUGCACGCAAGUGUGAAACUCAAAGGAAUUGACGGGGGCCCGCACAAGCGGUGGAGCAUGUGGUUUAAUUCGAAGCAACGCGAAGAACCUUACCAGGUCUUGACAUCGAUCUAAAGGCUCCAGAGAUGGAGAGAUAGCUAUAGAGAAGACAGGUGGUGCAUGGUUGUCGUCAGCUCGUGUCGUGAGAUGUUGGGUUAAGUCCCGCAACGAGCGCAACCCCUGUUGCCAGUUGCCAGCAUUAAGUUGGGGACUCUGGCGAGACUGCCGGUGACAAGCCGGAGGAAGGCGGGGAUGACGUCAAAUCAUCAUGCCCCUUAUGACCUGGGCUACACACGUGCUACAAUGGACAGAGCAGAGGGAAGCGAAGCCGCGAGGUGGAGCGAAACCCAUAAAACUGUUCUCAGUUCGGACUGCAGUCUGCAACUCGACUGCACGAAGAUGGAAUCGCUAGUAAUCGCGAAUCAGCAUGUCGCGGUGAAUACGUUCUCGGGCCUUGUACACACCGCCCGUCACACCAUGAGAGUCGGUAACACCCGAAGCCGGUGGCCUAACCGCAAGGAAGGAGCUGUCUAAGGUGGGACUGAUGAUUGGGGUGAAGUCGUAACAAGGUAUCCCUACGGGAACGUGGGGAUG